UUUAUUCUUGAACCUUGUUAAACAACAAAGGAGCUUCUGACCAAAGGCCCUACAAUUUCCUUCUUUGAUUUCUUUGUAUUAAAUUGUUUUAUAUUAAAUUUACAAAGGUUCUAUUUUUAUUGUCAUAAUCUGACUCUUUUGUGUUAUGCAUAUAUUUCACCAAGACCAAUUUGAAUUUUUUCUAAACAUUUAGUGACCAAUUUCACAGAUCAUGCAUGAUCCUUAGCCUUGAGAUUUUUACAUAAUUAUUUCACUUUAUUCUCUAGUUGACAAUGUAAUACGAGCUAGAAGGAGACACCUGUUGUGGAAGUCACAGAUUUACAGGUUGCUUAUUACCACAGCAGAGCUGACUAAUGCAUGAGUCUAUCUAAAGUAGUCACUAUCUAUCAUGGCAUACAGUUGAUUUCUUUAAUGCUAUUAUCAUGUCUGAAUUUAUCUCCUUUAUUGCUCUAGUCCUCCUUCCUACCUCCCCAUGACUUAUUUUGUCCACCACUGUGGUCCUUAGUGGCUAGAACAGCGACUGCUGCUCAUUCAACAUGUGUUCAAUGAACCUAUCUUCUGGUGACCACCACAUCUGCACUGGUGACUCCUUCAACCGUACACUAAGUCACGCUUAGCUUCUGCAAGUAUUUGUUUUGCAGUAUUGAAAAACUCCUCCAUGAGGAGGGCACAGCGUUCUGCCUGGAGUGUGAGGCCGGUGUUGCUUGGCUGCAGCUGCCAUUUGCCACUGAUGAUCAUUCUUCUCUUCCCCUGUGAGAGUAAGGAGAGGAUGCAGUCUGAGUGGUUCAAAAAAAUUUAAAAAAACAAAAAUAAAAAUAAAAGGGCUGGGCAUGGUGGCUCACGGCUGUAAUCCCAGCACUUUGGUGAGCCAAGGUGGGUGGAUCACCUGAGGUCAGGAGUUCGAGACCAGCCUGGCCAAUAUGGUGAAACCCCAUCUCUACUAAAAAUACAAAAAUUAGCUGGGCGUGGUGGCAGGUGCCUGUAAUCCUAGCUACUCGGGAGGCUGAGGCAGGAGAAUCACUUGAACCUGGGAGGUGGCGGUUGCAGUGAGCCGAGAUUGUGCCACUGCACUCCAGCCUGAGUGACAGAGUGAUACUGCGUCUCAAAAAAAUAAAUAAAUAAAAAAUAAAAAAUCUCCUUAUUCUGGCCCUGAGUACAACUAAAAGACAAACUGAAAGAAUCACAGAUUUUUUUAAG
rnacentral:lncRNA from 1 species